UGCGAAAUAACAAACGCCUGCGAUCUCUCUCACCCGUCCGCAGCACCACACGACGCAGGAAACGACGAGCACUGUAUAACGCGUACCUAUGUAUUAUUAUCACUGCAUAUUACAUACCAGGUAUAGGCUCAUUAACAAUAACGCGCGAAACCAGAGUCCGGUUUAGACAUUUUAAGGCCCGGGACAAAAAGGCCGACGAUUAGCGAAAAAAAGGUCAACCGCAUUCUGAUCCGGUAACGCGCGAGUAAACUGUCCAUCGUCCGUUCGCGUCGGCCAUACUUGCAUACUAAUAUUAUGCGUAUAUAGCUACAUUUUGUACGACAGUGAGAAACGUAAGUUGUAUUUGAACAGGCGUAUUUACGACUUCGCGGUA